GAUUCCCUCUCCUGUCCUAAUUUCUCCUGGAUUUACCAUGUAUGCUGUACCUACUAGGUCACAAGGAUGCAAGGCUCGGGAGAUUUGCAAAAAUUAAAACACACAGUUAUGACGUCUGGUCACCCUGUUUGGAAGACUACAUUUUCCACACUUUCAGUUGAAAAUACAGAUAGGUCUCUUCCCCCAUGCCCUGCAAGCCUCAGAGACUGUUCCAACUUCAAGCUGUGACUGGAAUGUAAUCAGAGAAUGCAUGAACAGCAAAGCAGAGUGAAAGGAGGGAAAGCAAAUAAACCUGCAUCACCAACUAUCCCUCAUCCAAGCAUGUUCAAGAAGUAUCGAUCUGUAAGUUUGGCCACCAAAAU